AGCGGUGAGUCCCGGUGAGGGCGGGUCUUCCCGGCUCGGUUGGUUUGGCGCGGGGAUAACACGGGCAUGGCACUGCUCGACUUAGUGACCGACUCGUUGGUCUUGACAGAGGUACUUUGCAAAACAAAGUUACUGGUGAAUAUUCAGAAUCUUGAAGCCAGAGCUCAAAGAAUAAGUAAGUGGUUUCUACAAGUUGAUGUACAUAUCUGCCUUAAGGAUGUGCAGCCCAUGGACAGAAGUAGUUUACCAUGAAGGGACUUUUUACUCCAAAAAACCUAGAAUUGUACAAAGUGUGUAACAGAACUUUGAACUUCUCCUACCAGAAACUAUACCAACUGUUGUG